UUCUGGGUUACAACAGCUAUGUUCUUAUUGGAUUUUUCUAAUCAUAGUCUUUUAGAAUAUUAUUAAUGACUUAAUAGAUUAGUCAAUGCACAAUAUAGAAAUAUAAAUGAAGGGAUGUUGGGCCUUCCCUGGACCAAUGAUGAGAACUGUCAGCGAAUAAGUUGCAGAUGAUGAAUGGCAUGUGUCUAGGACUCCGAGGUCUAUGACAAUGGAUAAACAGAUAAGCAGGGAUUGGAGAAGCGAAUGUAAUUUUUCAUCCUCUGCUCUGCUCUGCUCUUUGUUGCUUGUGUCCAUACUGUUCAUAAUGAACAGUAGUUUUAAUGUGUGUUUUUUUUGCUGUAUUUUAGGAAAGGAUAUUUUAUUUAAAUAAAUCAAAGGAAUCAAAUCAUAGUAUCCAUAAUAUCAGGUUAAUAGAAGCAUUUAGAUUAUUCCAUACAUUAAAAAAUGAGGACAGUAACAAAAAAAAUGUGGUUGACAGGUUCAUUGUGUAGACAAAUGUUAGGGACCUUAAUGCAUGCUGUCCUUGUAUUGUGUAGUUUAUAUAUUUUCCUUGGUUAAUUAAACUGCACAAGGGUAGAAGGAAUUAGAGAAUGGAUACCCAUCCAGCAUCUGAUACCACCUCAUUUGUCCCCAGGCCAUCAUUACUGGUUCAUGUUUGCAUUUUAUUAUUAUAAAUCUGCAAGGAAGAUCGAAUAGCAAAUAUUAAGGUGGUCAGAGAUGAAGAAAUGAAAAAUUUGUAUAUUAUUAACAUGUACAAUUAGGAUAUAGGUAUUACAUGUUUUUUUCUGUUGAAAUCUCCCUAUAUGGGUCAGGCUGGCCUCAAACCCCAAGGCCUGUUGUGUAUGCCAGUCAAGGGCUGUUAUUUCACUCAUCUGUCACCAUGACUGAUAGAGCAGACACUGAUCAAGUGUAUUACAGUUUUGGAAUAAAAAUGCUGUAGACAAGAAAUUGUCAAUCAAUGCAGUGUGUUAGUUAUAAAUUUGAAGUUCUUGAAGAAGAAAAUGAGUAGAUAUAUUUGCAGUAAAAAUGUUGAAGGCUAUGCUAAAGCAUGGUAGAAAUAUGAGUCAGUGAAGAGCACAUGUCCAAGUUCCCUCUGUCUCUGCUUUGUACUCCUCAGAUGGAGGCGCUGAGCUGGGAAGCACAUCCCUUCAUCGACAUCCCUGUGGUGUCGUGUGCUUGCACUGUGAGUAACAGCCAACCUUCUUAUUCUCCUUGGUUAAUGGGCUAAAGGUGUUAUGUUAAGUAUUGCUUUUUUUUAAAGGAGCAGACAAUGAAAUAACCAUGAUUACUGGUUUUAACAGUAAAUGGGGGCAGGGCAGAAGAGAAAUGCAGUAACUUGAUGAUGCCAUCUUUGUUUUCCCUCACUUUAUCUAAUACCAACCAGAAAUGGUUUUGAUCAAAGUGAUUCCUUAAGGUCUCUUUAUACAUGCUUACCUAGUGUAAUUCUCCAUUCGGGUUAACCAUAUCCACCCACUCAUAAUAAUUUGCUCAUUAUCCAAAAAUUCCACUAUCUUUUUUUCCUAUCCCUUUAAUUUAUUAAGAAACUAUUAUCUUGACUUUCUCCACAAUACAUAACACCCCAGAAUUUCUGAAGGUCAUGGAACUGUAACAGCAACUUUUCUGCAUUUUCUUCCCCCACUAAAUUGUCCUAUAACCAUCACUUCAGUCUCAUGUCCCAGUAGAUGAACUCUUCAUGUCCCACACUCUUCGUUUGUUUGUCUUUCUGUGCCUGACCUAUUUCCUUCAACCUGAUAUCUCCAGUUCCAUCUGUAUCCCUAAAAAUCAUAGCAUGCCAUUCUCCUUCAUGGCCAAAAGUACCUAUGACAUUUCUUAUAUCUAGGAUAAAUAAGGAGUCCAAAACCCAAUAGCUAAAACCACAAACAGUAAAUCAUGAUCAAUAGACAUAAGAGGCACACAAAUUUCCCAGAAGUCUAUGAAAGUAUGUUCCUUGUGAUCAAUCACCAGAGAAAUGCAUAUCAAAACCACAGCAAGAUGCCCCAUGACUCCAGUAAGGAAAACUAUUAUCAAGAAAGUCUAGUGAUAACAAUAACAAUAACUAGCCAACAGGUCAAUAGAGUGCUUCCUUUGUGCACUCUCAAUGGGAAUAUGAAUUUAUAGAACAUCAUAGAAAACAGCUUGGCAAUUCCUCAAAAACAAAACAAAACAAAAACAAACAAACAAAAAACCCAUAGAAUUGCCAGAUAAUCUAACCAACUAGUAGGUCUGGAUGGAAAGAAAAUGAUGCAUUUGUGUCAAAGAGAUGCCUGCCCUUCCUUUUUCCCUGCAGCUAGCUAUAGGUGCCAAGAUGGGAUAGAUUUGAGUAACCAUUAGCUGAUGAGUGGAUAAAGAAAUAUGAUAGAUACAGGGAUGGGGGAUGGGUUAUCUGAAUAAAAAUUAACUAGUCACUUGUUGUGUUUCCUAAUUGAUCACUGCUACACUGAGGCCAGUUGAUGAAAGAUAAGUCUCAAGUGAAUAGGACUCUACAGACAGAUGUUAGCCUGUCAAGCACUAUGUUCAUUUGUGUGAAUCAGGAUACUUUAUUGAUUUGUUUUAAUUAAUAACCUCAAAUAAAGUAAAUUCAAAUAAAAAAUAACAGGCCAAAACAUGAACCAAUGAUGAUAACAAGUGCUGAGAGUGGGCCUUACAUAUUGCAUGAAAUGUAUCUGGACUCUAAUAGAAAACUAAAAUGCGGAAUAAUCCAUUUUCUCUGUAGAAGACAUCCCCUAGACCAUCCUGUGGGUCAUGAAUCCUUUGGGGAUUGAAUGACUCUAUCACAUUGCUCACAUAUCUGACAUGCCUGGAAAUGCCUUAGCACAAUGGUUUUCAACCUGUGGGUCACAACCCCCUUUGGAGGCACAUAUCAAAUAUCCUGCAUAUCAGAUAUUUGCAAUAGGAUUCAUAACAGUAACUAAGUUACAGUUCUGAAGUAUGAAAAUUGUUGUACAAUUAGGGUCAGCACAACAUCAGGAACUGAACUAAAGGGUUGCAGCAUUAUGAAGGUUGACAACCACUGCUCUAAACAUGCAGGAAUAUCUAAGGACCAUGAGGCUGGCACCUAUGUGGAUAUAUGUCGAUUCUGACAUUGAAUUAAGCAGUAGAACUAUAAUUACUGAUGUACUAAUUAAAUACAAACAUGAAGUGCAUCAGGAGUACUUUGAUAUGUUGUUGUCAAAGCAGUAAAUUACAGUGGGCAAUAAGUAUAACUAUUAGGCAUCCAUCCUUAGCUACCAUAGACAUUAGAUGUUCAAGCAUUAUUUAUCAUCUUUAUGUGGGGUUAGUUUAAAUUUGUUUCUAAAUUAAAUUAUUUAUAUAUAUUUUGUUAAGGUAAAAGCAUGCAUCAUUAAAUUAAUGAGUGAAUAAAUCAAUUCAGAAAGCAAUGCUAACAAUCAAACCUCUGUGAAAAGAAUGUCACAGCUUUCCAUUUUCUUUCUGUUUAUAUGCUCUGCUCUAUGCUCUUCCCAAUGGAAUCGUCUGAGCUGCGGUUGGAAUUCUCCAUGGUUGGUGCUCAGUAGUUUUAUUUCUCACUGGAUUCUGGAAAUCAGACAUGACUGAAGUUUCUGUGGAAGUUUGCUGAGGUGGAGAAUACCCGGGAUGCCAUGAUGUCCGUUCACAGCCCAUGUUUGCUGACAGCUCCAGCGUUGACCUCCAAUCAGCACCUGAAGACAGGGAGCCCUCCCAACUAAUGGUGCCUGCCAGCAUGCUGAGAUCAAGACCACACCAACACAUUUGUGUGCUGUGAGAGCCAGAGUCCUGAAGACUGAGAGGCCGCCUGCCUUCCCCCCUUUUGGAGCACAUUCCAGUGUGACUGAAGUUUCUGUGGAAGUUUGCUGAGGUGGAGAAUACCCGGGAUGCCAUGAUGUCCGUUCACGGCCCAUGUUUGCUGACAGCUCCAGCGCUGACCUCCAAUCAGCACCUGAAGACAGGGAGCCCUCCCAACUAAUGGUGCCUGCCAGCAUGCUGAGAUCAAGACCACACCAACACAUUUGUGUGCUGUGAGAGCCAGAGUCCUGAAGACUGAGAGGCCGCCUGCCUUCCCCCCUUUUGGAGCACAUUCCAGUGUGACUGAAGUUUCUGUGGAAGUUUGCUGAGGUGGAGAAUACCCGGGAUGCCAUGAUGUCCGUUCACGGCCCAUGUUUGCUGACAGCUCCAGCGCUGACCUCCAAUCAGCACCUGAAGACAGGGAGCCCUCCCAACUAAUGGUGCCAGCCAGCAUGCUGAGAUCAAGACCACACCAACACAUUUGUGUGCUGUGAGAGCCAGAGUCCUGAAGACUGAGAGGCCGCCUGCCUUCCCCCCUUUUGGAGCACAUUCCAGUGUGACUGAAGUUUCUGUGGAAGUUUGCUGAGGUGGAGAAUACCCGGGAUGCCAUGAUGUCCGUUCACAGCCCAUGGAUGCUGACAGCUCCAGCUUUGACCUCCUAUCAGCACCUGAAGACAGGGAGCCCUCCCAACUUAUGGUGCCUGCCAGCAUGCUGAGAUCAAGACCACACCAACACAUUUGUGUGCUGUGAGAGCCAGAGUCCUGAAGACUGAGAGGCCGCCUGCCUUCCCCCCUUUUGGAGCACAUUCCAGUGUGACUGAAGUUUCUGUGGAAGUUUGCUGAGGUGGAGAAUACCCGGGAUGCCAUGAUGUCCGUUCACAGCCCAUGGAUGCUGACAGCUCCAGCUUUGACCUCCUAUCAGCACCUGAAGACAGGGAGCCCUCCCAACUGAUGGUGCCUGCCAGCAUGCUGAGAUCAAGACCGCACCAACACAUUUGUGUGCUGUGAGAGCCAGAGUCCUGAAGACUGAGAGGCCGCCUGCCUUCCCCCCUUUUGGAGCACAUUCCAGCAUGACUGAAGUUUCUGUGGAAGUUAGCUGAGGUGGAGAAUACCCGGGAUGCCAUGAUGUCCGUUCACAGCCCAUGGUUGCUGACAGCUCCAGCGUUGACCUCCAAUCAGCACCUGAAGACAGGGAGCCCUCCCAACUGAUGGUGCCAGCCAGCAUGCUGAGAUCAAGACCACACCAACACAUUUGUGUGCUGUGAGAGCCAGAGUUCUGAAGACUGAGAGGCCGCCUGCCUUCCCCCCUUUUGGAGCACAUUCCAGAGGAUUGUCUGAAGUUUCUUGGAAAGUUUGCUGUGAUGGAGGUUUCCAGAGAUGACGUGGUGUCCGGCUGUAUUUUGUUGUGGCUGACUGCUAAGGACCUGAUGUCCCAUGAAAUCUGAGUGACUUAGUGAUAUUCUCUGAGACUGCACUGGUUUUUGCAACUUUUCUCUGAUGUUACUAUGCCACCCUGAGGAUACCCAUUUCAUACCCACUUUGGUCAGAUGUUGGUAAGAUCUCAUAUUAUCAUUAUCUCUUCACUUGUAAGUAGCAAGUAUAACAU